CACAUCAAACAGGAAAAAAAAUAUGGGUUCCAGAACAACACAAAACCAAGCCUCCAAUGAAAAAUUAUUUGGAUAAGUUUAAUCUCGGAACCUGGAAUGUGUGAUCCCUGUACAUGGCGGGCGCACUAACAGUUGUAGAAGCUAAUUUAGAAGGAUAUGGAAUUGCAAUAGCAGCAAUUCAAGAAGUUAGAUGGACAGGAGAAGGAAAUUUAAAAUCAAAGAAACAUACAAUCUUUUAUAGUGGUGGACAAAGAUAUGAGCGAGGAGUAGGAUUUAUUGUUAGCAAUGAAUACUUACCAUACAUAAAAAGAUUUGAG